rnacentral:snoRNA from 1 species
GGCCCAUGAUGACUCACCAUGCUAAUACCGACAUCCCAGCAAUGCAUGUGUGUCUACCCCAGGGAGGAAUGAAUUAAAUUCAUUUUCCAUGGAGACCUGAGGUGC